rnacentral:tRNA from 1 species
GACACUUUGGCCGAGUGGUUAAGGCGACAGACUUGAAAUCUGUUUCCCUAGGGAGCGCAGGUUCGAACCCUGCAGGUGUCG